rnacentral:snRNA from 1 species
AUACCUUUCUCGGCCUUUUGGCUAAGAUCAAGUGUAGUAUCUGUUCUUAUCAGUUUAAUAUCUGAUAUGUGGACCAUCGGUUCACACGAUAUUAAAUUAAUUUUUUGAGGGGGAAGAUCCAUCUCAGUGGCUUGCUACUGGGGUCUUUCCCACAUUGAAUAAGUGAGAGAAU